rnacentral:rRNA from 1 species
GACGAACGCUGGCGGCGUGCUUAACACAUGCAAGUCGAACGGAAAGGCCCUGCUUUUGUGGUGUGCUCGAGUGGCGAACGGGUGAGUAACACGUGAGUAACCUGCCCUUGACUUUGGUAUAACUUCAGGAAACUGGGGCUAAUACCGGAUAGGAUCUCCUGUUGCAUGGUGGGGGUUGGAUAUUUUCGGCUGUUGGGGUUGGACUCGCGGCUUAUCAGCUUGUUGGUGGGGUAGUGGCUUACCAAGGCUUUGACGGGUAGCCGGCCUGAGAGGGUGAACGGGGACAUGGGGACUGAGAGACGGACCAGAGGCGUACGGGAGGCAGCAGGGGGGAAUAUGGCACAAUGGGCGGAAGCCGGAGGCAGAAACGCCGCGUGCGGGAUGACGGCCUGCGGGGUGUAAACAGCUUUAGCCUGUGACGAAGCGGGAGUGACGGUAAUGGGUAAAGAAGCACCGGCUAACUACGUG